CGGUUCUGGGCUGCAUGGAUUCGAAGAGGGCUGAGUUUUGUCGUGGCUGUGCUGUCCGCGGCCGUGCUCCACGGUUGCGACGUCUGCGGCCAAGCUGCCCGCUGCUGAGCUCCGCGGCCGAGCUGCCAGCGGCCGCGCUCUGCGGCCGUGCUCUGCGGUCGUGCUCUGCGGCCGUGCUUCCCAUGGCUGGGCCCUCCGUGGUCCCGUGAUCGUGGCCGCGGCGAGGGUGCCGCGACCUGCGCGGUGCCGUGCGCUGCAGUGAUGGCGCCGCGCACUGUGCAGUGAUUGUGCCGUGCGCUGCGUACGCGGUGGGUGCCGCGCGCCGCGCUGUUGAGCGUGCCGUAUUCGGACGGUGGCUGCCGCGCGCAGCGUGGUGAUUGCUGCGCUCUGCCAUGAGUGCCGCUCACUGCCGUGGCCUGAGUGCCGCGCUCGGACGGAGUGCCACGCGCCGUUGUGUUGCGUCGCCUUCUGCCUUUCGAUAUGUGCUAUCUCCGAAUUUAAUGUUGCUUGUUGCCGAUGUUCGCUUCUUUUCGUUAAGAGGGUCGGGUAUAGUCGGUCGAUUUAUUCGCACCGUUUGAUUUCGUACCGGCUUCUCUUCUGUUUCUUAUUGUUUUCUGCGAUGUCACUUGUCCGAUUUUAUAUCUGAUUAAUUCACGUCACUUAAGUAUUUAUUUUAUAUUGUCAUAAUAACUUACGGCGCUGUUCCUUUAUUUUCUGUUUAGUUGCAGCCCUAGUACCUUAAUUUCCGAUGUCUCUUCGGUUUGUUGUCGCUCGCAUGUUCAGAGAGUCCUGGUUGGCCGGCGCGAGCGGCGGUUGUGGAAUACAAGCUCGUCUGUGAA